rnacentral:ncRNA from 1 species
CAAAGGUUUGGUCCUAGCUUUACUAUCAACUUUAAUUUAACUUAUACAUGCAAGUAUCCGCAUCCCUGUGAGAAUGCCCUCAAUCCCCUACCCGAGGACGAGGAGCAGGUAUCAGGCACAGACCAAUCUAGCCCAAGACGCCUUGCUAUGCCACACCCCCAAGGGACUUCAGCAGUAAUAAAUAUUAAGCCAUAAGUGUAAACUUGACUUAGUUAAAAUUUUAAUAGGGCCGGUAAAAUUCGUGCCAGCCACCGCGGUUAUACGAAAGACCCUAGUUGAUAGACAUCGGCGUAAAGGGUGGUUAAGAAAUUAUAAAAUAAAGUCAAAGACCCUCUAAGCCGUCAUACGCACCCCGAGGAUACGAAAUCCAAACACGAAAGUAACUUUAAACACAAUUAACCUGACCCCACGAAAGCUAAGAAACAAACUGGGAUUAGAUACCCCACUAUGCUUAGCCAUAAACCCAGAUGAUUUUCUACAAAUUCAUCCGCCAGGGGACUACGAGCACAGCUUAAAACCCAAAGGACUUGGCGGUGUUUCAGACCCACCUAGAGGAGCCUGUUCUAGAACCGAUAAUCCCCGUUAAACCCCACCACUUCUUGUUUUCCCCGCCUAUAUACCGCCGUCACCAGCUUACCCUGUGAAGGAGUAAUAGUAAGCAAAAUAGGUUCACCCAAAAACGUCAGGUCGAGGUGUAGCGUACGAAGUGGAUAGAAAUGGGCUACAUUUUCUAAUAAUAGAAUACACGAAUAGUGCCAUGAAAUGGGCACUUAAAGGUGGAUUUAGUAGUAAAAAGCAAAUAGAGCGUACUUUUGAAUUAGGCUCUGAAACGCGCACACACCGCCCGUCACUCUCCCCUAAAUAUUCAAAAACCAUUUAUAAUAACAUAUCAUUAAAACACGGGGAGGCAAGUCGUAACAUGGUAAGUGUACCGGAAGGUGUACUUGGAAUAAU